CUGUCCCCACUGUCAACUGUAAUAUGCUGCGUUUUUUAGAGAGAUUUUGAGAGAGAUGAAAGUUGUUAUCGGUGGCCAGAUAUCCAUGAUCAACCAGCUGAUUCAUUUGAUUUUGAACCAGAUUUAAACCAAACUGUACCCCAAUUCCUGCAAAGUGCUCCUGAAAGUUUUUCUCUCUUAGAACAAAAGACUGGACUAAUUUCUGUGGCUAAAAGUAAGAAUCGUAAAAGAAAUGUUUUCAGAGACUUGUGGUCAAGCUGUGGAUUUGUUUCAUGUUUCACACGAUGCUUGGUUCACAAUGGCAAGAAUCAAGUUGAAAUGUUUGAAGGCUUUAUGGAAAAAAAGAAUUGGUUAUGAAUUUAUUAUACUUUAAUUUGAUAUUUUAAACUAAAUGUGACAAAAUUGUAAGUUAAAUAUCUUCAAAACUGUUUUAGGAAAAGUUGUUUGAAAUAGUUCUUUUAAUUGAAUGAAAUAAGUUGAAGAAAAAUAUUACAGUUUAUUAUCCAUUUCUGAAA